AAAAGCACAGAAAAUCUGAACUGCUUCGUGUUCGCCAAAUACUGGGAAGACGAGAAGAAAAGACUGUGCAAAAAAUCAAAACCAGCGCCGUAAAACGCGACGUCGUUUUCUCUCGAAAAAAUAUGCGGCGUCCCGUCGAACCAACGUCGAAUUUUUUCGACAAAACCGUCUCGUAAAAUUUUAUUUCGCGCUCGUCAUCAGAAUCAUUCGAUCGGAAUAAUCGUACUUUGCACUUGUGAAAGUAUAACGUGUUUGUGAAAUUUAGAAGUGCCAUGUGAGAUCGAUGGACUGUCGUAAGUGACAACAUCAGGAAUAUGGUUAGCCGUGUGGUGUUGAAGCAGUGGCGGAACCAACCGACUGCGACGAAACAACGGCUGAUCAACGCAGAAUUACAACUCCGCUGUUGCGCAUCGGCCGCUUAAUGCUAAGGUAGCACCGCCACGAUUUUCUCCGAAAUGGCACGGGAUACAAAAUUGUUAUUAGUGGUACAAAUUAGUACAAAAUGGGUACUAAAUAUUCUGAUAGGUCCGGUUUGAUUCUGCCGAUUUGGUCCUGCUAGCUUA